CUUCUCUCUCUUCUCUCUCUCGUCUUGUUCACCACAGACGCACUUGGCCUCAGCUCUCUCCUUCGCAAUGAGGACUUCGUCAUUGCAUUCAAUUUUUUGUGGGUUCGUUCCAUGACGUUGUGCAUCGCAAUUGGUUCCAUGACGUUGUGCAUCGCAAUUGGUUCCAUGACGUUGUGCUCGCGCUCCGUCGUCGCACUGUUUACAUCGCAAUUGGUUCCGUCGCGAAAACUCGGUGCAGGGAGGGUUUCAUCUCCGUCGACCGUCGCCUUUCCAUCUCACAAGAUUGCUACGUUCGUGUGGUUCACUGUAAUUGCAAUUGCUGUGUUGUUUUCUUCUUCUUCUUCCACCACAAACCCCCAUUUCUUCCUACCACUAGUUCCGCUGGCAACCCCGACCUCGAUUCCACGGCGAUUCAGAUCAGCCACCUGUUGCAAGGUACAGGGAAUGCCACUUUAAAUUCUAAUUUCUAAUUGCGUUCAACUUAUUGCUGGAUUAGAAUACAAGCACUCGCUCAAGACCACAUUCACUCCCAGAUUUUGUCAAAUUGGCUCAAGGAAUGUCUACCAGGCCUCAUAUUUUCACACCUGUAGUGAAUUGGCAGUAAAAUGAAGGGCUUGGAUGAAGGUGAACGUGAAGGGAAAAAGCAGAAUGCAGCUGAUUGUAUCCAUCUCUUGAGGUUGCUCUUCCUGAGGAAACCGGUACUGGAAGAUGUUUCUGGCAACAUCAUAUUGAAUCUAUCGUAGCACGUCAAGAAAAAAAAAAGCUUACAAGGGCUCAUAAGCUUAUACUUUUCUGGAUCAGUGGAAAGUUUUACUGAAGACACCUUGUUUAUCAUGUGGCAAGCAUUCUGGGAAAUUUAUGGCAAGCAUCUGUACACCGAAGCCAGGUUUAGGGGUAUCAGUUGCAGCAAGAAUAAUCUCCACAUUAAAGCAUGUCACCAUGAAGAUAGCAAGUUACUACUAGCUGGAGGGGAACAAAGGCCAGGUGAGACUUGUGAUAAUCUUCACGUGACAUUGUUGCAUUAAAGUAGUCUUGAAGAUAGAUGUUGAUAAAGUAUAGCCAUUAACUAUAAGAAAAUAGUUGAGUGGGGGCGGGUGACUCACUCUUCUCUCCCCCACAUUGCCACCAUUAUAUCACUAAGUAUUGCAUAGUGCAUACGACAUUGAAAUUUUCCCUCCUUCCAACUAUCUUAGACUGAGUCUGAGACUCAGAAAAGCGUUGUUACAAUAUUUAGGAUAGGGGUACGAACCUACAAAGGUUUCAUUCCAAUUUUUCCUAAAUAAUUGUGUUGUGGUUUUGAGCUAGCUAUUAGUAAUGAGGAUUCAACAUAAGCUUUCAAGAUCACAUUUGUAUUACGAUCCAGUUGUAAGAUUGGCUAUAGUUUGAUAAGGCUGUCUAGGGAGAGCAGGUGGCUGCUGGAAUUAGUUAUUCUAUCUGUGCUUCAGAUCAGAAGUUCUAUUUUUUACUUAAUUGAUUUUCUGCAGUAUUGAACAUUCCUAAUUGCUCAAAUGCCUAUUGUAGUUUGUACUUUAGGACACAAAGCCUUUUGUACUUUGUAGAUCUUUAGUAAAAGAUAUUCAUUUGUAAUUUUAUUUUAAUAUUGUUGAGAACUUUAGACACUUUACUCUUGGGAUACUUUGGUUUAUCCCUACUUGGUUGUUUUGUUUUGUUUUGCGUGUGAGGAUGAGUCGAGAAGAAAUAUGAUCAUUUUGAGUGAUCCAAUAUGCUUGCUUUACUUCUUGCUCUUCAUUGCCGUUGCAUUUGGGAACUUCCCCUACUUCACUUUUGGGAUCUUUUGGUACCCUACUUGGUUGUUUUAUUUGUUUGUGUGGGUGAGUUACUUCGGACAUUGAAUCUUUUAAGUGCUAUAAGGUUGAUUAUUUUUGUACAUUUAUGUUAUGAUAUUUUGUUGUACUUUUUCUUUUAUAGUUUGUAAUUUAGAAAACAAAGCCUUGUACUUUUUAGAUCUCAUGUAUAAGAUAUUCAUUUGUAAUUUUCUUUUAUCUUGUUGAGAGACAUUGGACACUUUUUUUUUUAUACCUUUGGUUGAUUCGUACUUGGUUGUUUUAUUUGUUUGUGUGGGUGAGUUACUUUGGACAUUAAAUCCUUUUGAGUGCUAUAGGGUUGAUAAUUUUUGUACAUUUAUGUUAUGAUAUUUUGUUGUACUUUUUCUAUAGGUUGUAAUUUAGAACACAAAGCCUUGUACUUUUUAGAUCUCUUGUAUAGGAUAUUCAUUUGUAAUUUACUUUUAUCUUGUUGAGAGACAUUGGACACUUUAUUUUUUAUACCUUUGGUUGAUUCGUACUUGGUUGUUUUAUUUGUUUGUGUGGGUGAGUUACUUUGGACAUUGAAUCUUUUUGAGUGCUAUAGGGUUGAUUUUUUUUUUGUAGUUUGUAAUUUAGAGCACAAAGCCUUGUACUUUGUAGAUCUCUUGUAUAGGAUAUUCAUUUGUAAUUUACUUUUAUCUUGUUGAGAGACAUUGGACACUUUAUUUUUUGUACCUUUGGUUGAUUCGUACUUGAUUGUUUUAUUUGUUUGUGUGGGUGAGUUACUUUGGACAUUAAAUCCUUUUGAGUGCUAUAGGGUUGAUAAUUUUUGUACAUUUAUGUUAUGAUAUUUUGUUGUACUUUUUCUAUAGGUUGUAAUUUAGAACACAAAACCUUGUACUUUUUAGAUCUCUUGUAUAAGAUAUUCAUUUGUAAUUUAAUUUUAUCUUGUUGAGAGACAUUGGACACUUUAUUUUUUAUACCUUUGGUUGAUUCGUACUUGGUUAUUUUAUUUGUUUGUGUGGAUGAGUUACUUUGGACAUUGAAUCUUUUUGAGUGCUAUAGGGUUGGUUAUUUUUUUUGUAGUUUGUACUUUGUCUCUUGUAUAGGAUAUUCAUUUGUAAUUAACUUUUAUCAUGUUGAGAGACAUUGGACACUUUAUUUUUUUGUACCUUUGGUUGAUUCGCACUUGGUUGUUUUAUUUGUUUGCGUGGGUGAGUUACUUCAGACAUUGAAUCCUUUUGUAAUUUACUUUUCUAGGGUUGAUUAUUUUUGUACAUUUAUGUUAUGAUAUUUUGUUGUACUUUUCUUUUAUAGUUUGUAAUUUAGAGCACAAAGCCUUGUACUUUGUAGAUCUCUUGUCAUUUGUAAUUUACUUUCAUCUUGUUGAGAGACAUUGGACAUUUUAUUUUUUGUACCUUUGGUUGAUUCGUAUUUGGUUGUUUUAUUUGUUUGCGUGGGUGAGUUAUUUUGGACAUUACUUUGUACAUUUAUGUUAUGAUAUUU